UUUCUCGGGCCGUCACACGCAAACGCCCUGUUCUUCAACGUGAUGCACCUGUUGCUUUGCACCUGCUGCUCUCUCUUGCUCAGAUGAAUUCCCAAAGAUUUUUACAUCGUAACGUUUUCUCAGAAUUGAGGAAUCAUUGCUUAUGCCGUCUACUUCGAGAGACCCUGCUUGGUGUCUCUAAGUAAAGAGCCCUCGCCCACCCCCACCCCCACCAUCCGGUCAUCUGUUGGAUCUUCCUCAGAGCAUUUGCUCAUUAGUGUGAACGUCUACUCCUCUGUUUUCUGCCUCCUGGACAGAAAAGCAGCUCCCGGGAGGGCAGGUGUGCCUGUCUUGCUCACGGCUGAGUCCUUCGUGCGGGCACAGAAGGAGAUGCUCCGUGUAUUUAGGGGAAAAGGAGGAGAUACUUACCCUUCCACAUCCUCAUGGUUCCAGAGAACGUCCAGGAUGAAGAGAUGAAAAUGCUUUGCUGAGACUCCCAGGCGUUCCUCAGGUGUUUGCAGGCAUGGAUACCUGUCCCCCUCGUUUCUGGGGCAAAGUCUAGUUCCAGGGACAAUAAUGACACAAGGAAGGUUGAUUCCAUUAUGAGCAAUGCAAACACAGCCGACUUUGAGGUUCUCAGAGUAGCUUAUGAUGGUUUUUUGAAAUCUGCCCUCCCACCAUGGGGCACUGUGCAGACAGAGCACUUUGCACACAUGGGGUGCCCUGUAGUUGAACAGAAAUGGGGUGACGAAGGGUCUAUGGAGCUGGUCAGAGUCACCUCUCACUUUGUCCCACUCUUCUAAAACCUUAAGACAAAAUGGAGAAAUCCAAAGUACGUUAAUCACAAAAUAACUGUUCCUGGAGUGAUAAAGUCCACAGGAGAACAUUCAAAAGUGGUUCUUUGCUGAGACUGACCUUAAUUUCCAGGAUUGGCCUUCAGGAAAGGGAACCAACAGGAUCAUCAAGACGGAGUCUCUUGUCUGAUCAGUUCUCCAAGAGGAACGCAGUCACCCUUGUCAGCUCCCUGCCCAGCUCUGCCUGUCAUUCCUGCUGGUUGACAACAUCACCAUCAUCAGCCAUCAUCCAUCACCGACUAUCCAGAUGGUUCAACCACCAUCUCCAGGAUCUGUGGCUGUAAAGAAUUCAAUUUCCUCCUCUUUAAUAUACGAAAGAGCUGAACUGUGUUACCCUGCAGCGUCUUAAGGAAAAGGAU